rnacentral:rRNA from 1 species
GGGAGCAGCCCAGAGUCUGAAUCAGCUUGUGUGUUAGUGGAACGGUCUGGAAAGUCCGACGGUACAGGGUGAUAGUCCCGUACACCAAAAUGCACAGGYUGUGAACUCGAAGAGUAGGGCGGGACACGUGGUAUCCUGUCUGAAUAUGGGGGGACCAUCCUCCAAGGCUAAAUACUCCUGACUGACCGAUAGUGAACCAGUACCGUGAGGGAAAGGCGAAAAGAACCCCGGCGAGGGGAGUGAAAAAGAACCUGAAACCGUGUACGUACAAGCAGUGGGAGCACCUUCGGGUGUGACUGCGUACCUUUUGUAUAAUGGGUCAGCGACUUAUAUUCUGUAGCAAGGUUAACCGUAUAGGGGAGCCGCAGGGAAACCGAGUCUUAACUGGGCGUUAAGUUGCAGGGUAUAGACCCGAAACCCGGUGAUCUAGCCAUGGGCAGGUUGAAGGUUGGGUAACACUAACUGGAGGACCGAACCGACUAAUGUUGAAAAAUUAGCGGAUGACUUGUGGCUGGGGGUGAAAGGCCAAUCAAACCGGGAGAUAGCUGGUUCUCCCCGAAAGCUAUUUAGGUAGCGCCUCGUGAACUCAUCUUCGGGGGUAGAGCACUGUUUCGGCUAGGGGGUCAUCCCGACUUACCAACCCGAUGCAAACUACGAAUACCGAAGAAUGUUAUCACGGGAGACACACGGCGGGUGCUAACGUCCGUCGUGAAGAGGGAAACAACCCAGACCGCCAGCUAAGGUCCCAAAGUCAUGGUUAAGUGGGAAACGAUGUGGGAAGGCACAGACAGCCAGGAUGUUGGCUUAGAAGCAGCCAUCAUUUAAAGAAAGCGUAAUAGCUCACUGGUCGAGUCGGCCUGCGCGGAAGAUGUAACGGGGCUAAACCAUGCACCGAAGCUGCGGCAGCGACACGAUGUGUUGUUGGGUAGGGGAGCGUUCUGUAAGCCUGCGAAGGUGGCCUGUGAGGGYUGCUGGAGGUAUCAGAAGUGCGAAUGCUGACAUAAGUAACGAUAAAGCGGGUGAAAAGCCCGCUCGCCGGAAGACCAAGGGUUCCUGUCCAACGUUAAUCGGGGCAGGGUGAGUCGACCCCUAAGGCGAGGCCGAAAGGCGUAGUCGAUGGGAAACAGGUUAAUAUUCCUGUACUUGGUGUUACUGCGAAGGGGGGACGGAGAAGGCUAUGUUAGCCGGGCGACGGUUGUCCCGGUUUAAGCAUGUAGGCUGGUUAUCCAGGCAAAUCCGGAUAAUCAAGGCUGAGGUGUGAUGACGAGGCACUACGGUGCUGAAGUAACAAAUGCCCUGCUUCCAGGAAAAGCCUCUAAGCAUCAGGUAACAUCAAAUCGUACCCCAAACCGACACAGGUGGUCAGGUAGAGAAUACCAAGGCGCUUGAGAGAACUCGGGUGAAGGAACUAGGCAAAAUGGUGCCGUAACUUCGGGAGAAGGCACGCUGGUGUGUAGGUGAAGYCCCUGCGGRUGGAGCUGAGACCAGUCGAAGAUACCAGCUGGCUGCAACUGUUUAUUAAAAACACAGCACUGUGCAAACACGAAAGUGGACGUAUACGGUGUGACGCCUGCCCGGUGCCGGAAGGUUAAUUGAUGGGGUUAUCCGUAAGGAGAAGCUCUUGAUCGAAGCCCCGGUAAACGGCGGCCGUAACUAUAACGGUCCUAAGGUAGCGAAAUUCCUUGUCGGGUAAGUUCCGACCUGCACGAAUGGCGUAAUGAUGGCCAGGCUGUCUCCACCCGAGACUCAGUGAAAUUGAACUCGCUGUGAAGAUGCAGUGUACCCGCGGCAAGACGGAAAGACCCCGUGAACCUUUACUAUAGCUUGACACUGAACAUUGAGCCUUGAUGUGUAGGAUAGGUGGGAGGCUUUGAAGCGUGGACGCCAGUCUGCGUGGAGCCAACCUUGAAAUACCACCCUUUAAUGUUUGAUGUUCUAACGURGGCCCCURAYCGGGGUUGCGGACAGUGUCUGGUGGGUAGUUUGACUGGGGCGGUCUCCUCCCAAAGCGUAACGGAGGAGCACGAAGGUUAGCUAAUCCUGGUCGGACAUCAGGAGGUUAGUGCAAUGGCAUAAGCUAGCUUGACUGCGAGCGUGACGGCGCGAGCAGGUGCGAAAGCAGGUCAUAGUGAUCCGGUGGUUCUGAAUGGAAGGGCCAUCGCUCAACGGAUAAAAGGUACUCCGGGGAUAACAGGCUGAUACCGCCCAAGAGUUCAUAUCGACGGCGGUGUUUGGCACCUCGAUGUCGGCUCAUCACAUCCUGGGGCUGAAGUAGGUCCCAAGGGUAUGGCUGUUCGCCAUUUAAAGUGGUACGCGAGCUGGGUUUAGAACGUCGUGAGACAGUUCGGUCCCUAUCUGCCGUGGGCGCUGGAGAAUUGAGGGGGGCUGCUCCUAGUACGAGAGGACCGGAGUGGACGCAUCACUGGUGUUCGGGUUGUCAUGCCAAUGGCACUGCCCGGUAGCUAAAUGCGGAAGAGAUAAGUGCUGAAAGCAUCUAAGCACGAAACUUGCCCCGAGAUGAGUUCUCCCUGAGACUUUAAGUCUCCUGAAGGAACGUUGAAGACGACGACGUUGAUAGGCCGGGUGUGUAAGCGCAGCGAUGCGUUGAGCUAACCGGUACUAAUGAACCGUGAGGCUUAACCUUACAACGCCGAAG